AUUGAACGCUGGCGGCAGGCUUAACACAUGCAAGUCGAGCGGGGAGAUGUAGCUUGCUACAUAUCCUAGCGGCGGACGGGUGAGUAAUGCUUAGGAAUCUGCCUAUUAGUGGGGGACAACAUUCCGAAAGGAAUGCUAAUACCGCAUACGCCCUACGGGGGAAAGCAGGGGAUCUUCGGACCUUGCGCUCAUAGAUGAGCCUAAGUCGGAUUAGCUAGUUGGUGGGGUAAAGGCCUACCAAGGCGACGAUCUGUAGCGGGUCUGAGAGGAUGAUCAGCCAAACUGGGACUGAGACACGGCCCAGACUCCUACGGGAGGCAGCAGUGGGGAAUAUUGGACAAUGGGCGCAAGCCUGAUCCAGCCAUGCCGCGUGUGUGAAGAAGGCCUUUUGGUUGUAAAGCACUUUAAGCGAGGAGGAGGCUCCUUUAGUUAAUACCUAAAGAGAGUGGACGUUACUCGCAGAAUAAGCACCGGCUAACUCUGUG
rnacentral:rRNA from 1 species